GAAGCACUUUACCGGAUUUCUUCGGAAUGAAAGUUUUGUGACUGAGUGGCGGACGGGUGAGUAACGCGUGGGUAACCUGCCUCAUACAGGGGGAUAACAGUUAGAAAUGACUGCUAAUACCGCAUAAGACCACAGGACCGCAUGGUGCGGUGGUAAAAACUCCGGUGGUAUGAGAUGGACCCGCGUCUGAUUAGCUAGUUGGUAAGGUAACGGCUUACCAAGGCGACGAUCAGUAGCCGACCUGAGAGGGUGACCGGCCACAUUGGGACUGAGACACGGCCCAAACUCCUACGGGAGGCAGCAGUGGGGAAUAUUGCACAAUGGGGGAAACCCUGAUGCAGCGACGCCGCGUGAGCGAUGAAGUAUUUCGGUAUGUAAAGCUCUAUCAGCAGGGAAGAAUUAGGACGGUACCUGACUAAGAAGCACCGGCUAAAUACGUGCCAGCAGCCGCGGUAAUACGUAUGGUGCAAGCGUUAUCCGGAUUUACUGGGUGUAAAGGGAGCGUAGACGGAGAGGCAAGUCUGAUGUGAAAACCCGGGGCUCAACCCCGGGACUGCAUUGGAAACUGUUUUUCUAGAGUGUCGGAGAGGUAAGUGGAAUUCCUAGUGUAGCGGUGAAAUGCGUAGAUAUUAGGAGGAACACCAGUGGCGAAGGCGGCUUACUGGAC
rnacentral:rRNA from 1 species